rnacentral:lncRNA from 1 species
UGGCUAAUUGGAGGCAUGGACAAUCUCCAAACUCAGACCUCUGACAGAUGCAGCCCUCUGACCAGUCUAAAGCUGGGUCCUCCCAGCUCAGGGAUGCUGUCCUCACAGGAAUGCCUAAUGGGGCUUCCUGCCUGCCCAUCCCAACCCCUGGGGCCACACAUUGCUUAUUUUGGAUUACACCGGGCAGCCUGUGCCCCGGGCAGAGGGAAGGAGAGCUUGGGCAGGACUGGGGAGUGUGACUCAUUUCUGUCUACCCAGCCAAGCACCAAAGGCAAUGCUGGCAAGUGGGAGAUGGUCCACAGCCACUCACCAGCAGCCAGAAGCCAGGCUCAGGACAGCCAGGCCUCAGCUUACACAGAGGCCAGCAAAUUUUGGGAUGCCGAGGCGGGUGGAUCACCUGAGGUCAGGAGUUCAAGACCAGCCUGGCCAACAUGGUUAAACCCCAUCUCUACUAAAAAUACAAAAUUUGGCCAGGCAUGGUGGCAUGCGCCUAUAAUCCCAGCUACUUGGGAGGCUAAGGCAGGAGAAUCCUGAAUCUGGGAGGCUCAAAGACCAUGAAGGUACUGCUGCUGGUGAUGGGAUUUUCCCAAAUCCUGGACAACUCCGGAGGGAGUUCUCCCCUGAUCACACAGUGGUUGCAUUCCCAGAAUAUCUAAUGUAUAUGACAAUGAUGCAAAAAACAGACACACCCAGAGUUUGGUUCUGGACCCAUGUUUUACAAGAGGACUUUUC